rnacentral:rRNA from 1 species
GACGAACGCUGGCGGCGUGCUUAACACAUGCAAGUCGAACGGUGAAGCGCCUUCCUUUUUGGUGGGUGUGGAUGAGUGGCGAACGGGUGAGUAACACGUGAGUAACCUGCCCCCUUCUUCUGGAUAACCGCAUGAAAGUGUGGCUAAUACGGGAUAUUCUGGGUCUGUCGCAUGAUGGGUCUGGGAAAGAUAUUGUUUCGGUGGGGGAUGGGCUCGCGGCCUAUCAGCUUGUUGGUGGGGUGAUGGCCUACCAAGGCGGUGACGGGUAGCCGGCCUGGGAGGGUGAACGGUAACACUGGGAAGGAGACACGGACACGACUCCUACGGGAGGCAGCAGUGGGGAAUAUUGAACAAUGGGCGCAAGGCUGAUGCAGCGACGCCGCGUGAGGGAUGGAGGCCUUCGGGUUGUGAACCUCUUUCGCCAGUGAAGCAGGCCUGCCUCGUUUGUGGGUGGGUUGACGGUAGCUGGAUAAGAAGCGCCGGCUAACUACGUG